GAGCGAUUAAAACAGCAUAACAUUCUGCAGUGUAUAUGCUUGCUGAUGCAGGAAUGGAAAGGCCACGUCCAGUUUUCAGAUGAGGAAUUCCCAAAGACCUCAACUCUUCGACGAGUACAUGAAGAUUAACAUUAUUAAAUGCACCAACAAUGUCAAAGAAUAUACUAAUUAAUACUUCAUUAUUUUCCAUAGCUUUAAAGAUGUCUAAAUGAAGAAAUGCAAUACUUUCUCUAGAUGACUUACGGCGUCUGAAUCCAAACUGAUUUGAUGGAAAAUGAUAGCUGCCUAGAGAAUCAUCAUCACAUACUUGCCACUCACAAGACAGAGCCAGUGAAGAUGAAACAAGUGUUAAGUCCAAUGCAUUCUGCCUCCAUCUAUGAGAUCCUACUGUAGUCAUCUGACCAUCAUUCAAGAUUACAAGAUUGUUGUCAUCUAUACUUGCAAGAACAUCCCUACCUCGUGAAUCCAAUUCAGAACAUCCCCAUAAUGUGUGGUGGGCGUUGAAAUCGCCAGCUAUAAAAACUGGCUGUGGCAAAUUUUGGAUUAAAUUAUCUAGUUUUGAUUUACUAUAAUUAAUUGAUGAUUUAGGGGGACAGUAAACACUAACUAAAGUUAAUAAUUUAUCAUUAUAUUGUAUUUGUACAGCUAUGUUUUGUAAUGAGUCAUCAGAGAAUGUAUUGAUAACAUGAAAUCUAAUUUUGUUAUGCAGAAGUAUUGCUACUCCAUUAUGAUCAUUACCUGAAUCUAAUCGUAUAAUAUUAUAACCUUUUACCCUAAAAUUUUGCCUAUUACUAAGCCAAGUUUCACAUAUGAGAGCAGCAUCUAUAUUGUUCUCAUAUAAAAAUUGUGUAAAUUGAAAGCGAUUUUUAAUUAAACUCUGUGCAUUCCAUUGUAUAAUGUUAA